ensembl:lncRNA novel transcript, antisense to SCMH1
GGGCAGUCCUGGCGGCGUCAGGGCCGCGACCGGACCGUGGGCCCCGCCCGCCCGACCGCAGAUGCAGAGCCGGCCUCCGGGCUCGGGGCCGGGCUGACACGGCCGAGAAAGGGCCCAGCCCCGCGCGGACCACAGACUGGCAGGCCGGCCAGACAGACGGACAGGCUGACCCCGGCCCGGGGGAGCAGGCGCAGCGGCUGCGCAGCUGCAUAAUAUUUCAUUGUAUGGAUAAACUACACAGUUCCCAGUGAUGAAGACCAAGAUUGUUCCCAAUCUGUUUGCUAUUAUAAACAGUGUUGCAACAAACAGGCUUUGUGUGUAUCAUUUCAUAUGAGUACAAGAGUUUCUGUAGACUUGACAAUAAAAAGAUAACCCAAUUGAAAAAACAGACAAAGGAUUUGAAUAGUCAUUGCUCCAAAGAAGAUAUGAUAAGUAUAUUAAAAAGUUGCUCACCAUCAUUACCCAUUAGGGAAAUGCAAAUCAAAACCACAGUGAGAUACUGCACAUUCACUAGGAUGGCUAUAAUCAAAAAGACACAUAAUAACAAGUGUCUUAGUUCAUUUCAGCUGCUAUAACAAAAUAUCGCAGACUGGUUGGCUCAAACAACAGAAAUGUUAUUUCUCAUGGUUCUGGAGGCUGGGAAGUCCAAGAUCAAGGGGCUGGCUGAUUUGGUUUCUGGUGAGCCCUCUCUUCUGGGCCUGUAGAGGACCACUGUUGCACUGAGUACCUAGGACCUUUUUUUCCUCUGCAUGUGUAGAGAGAGAGAGACAGAAAGAGAGCACACAAAUGUAUGCUGGUGUUUCUUUCUCUUUUAUUUUUAUCAACUUAAUUUAAUUUUUAGAUUUCAAAUUAUGAAAUAUUUAAAGAAUACAGUAAAGUACAGAAAAAUAUAAUUGACCUCUAUAUAGCCCAUUCACUUGAUUUAACAAAUGUGUGGUAUUUUGCCAUGUUUACUUCAGAACUCGCUCUUUUUGUAGAAAAUAAAAAUAUUAAAUACAUAGCUAAAGCCCAAUCUCAUCCCUUCCCGCUCCCUCUCCUCAUGUUAACCACUAGCCUGAAAUUAUGUUUUUAUACUUUUAUUGCAUAUUUGAAUGAGAUCAUAAAUAAUACAUUGGCAGCUUUUUUCCAAUAUUUUUAUUGUGCUAAAAUACAUACAACAUGAAAUUUACCAUCUUAACCAUUUUAAAGCAUAUAGUUCAGUGGCAUUAAACACGUUCAUAAAGUUGUGUGACCGUUACCCCAAUUCAUCUCCAUAACUCUUUUCAUCUUACAAAAUUGAAACUCCAUUAAACAAUAACUCCCCAUUUCCACUUCCCCCUAGCCCCUGGAAACCACCAUUGUACUUUCUAUCAUUAUGAUUUUGACCACUCUAAGUACCUUAUGUAAGUGGAAUCAUACAGAAUUUGUCUUUUUGUGGCUGGCUUAUUUCACUAGUAUAAUGUCCUCAGGGUUCAUCCAUGUUAUAACAUAUUGCAGAAUCUCCUUCCUUUUUUAGGGCUGAGGAAUAUUCCAUUGUAUGGACAUAUCAUCUUUUGCUUAUCUAUUCAUCCACUGAUGGACAUCUGGGGUGCUUCCACACUGUAGCUAUUGUGAGUAAUACCGCUAUGAACAUGGGUUGAUAAAUAUCUUCCUCUUCUUAUAAGUGCACCUAUAAGAGCCAUAUUAGGGCCUCACCCUUAUGAUAAAGGUAUAACCUUUAUCACCUUCUCACAGGUCCUAUCUCUAAUACAAUGACAUAGAGCUUCAACACAUAUAUUUUGAAGGGACACAAACAUUUAGUCCAAGACAAUGGAUGAGAAUAUGGAGAAAUUGGAACUCUAAUACAUUGCUGGUGGGAAUGUAAAAUGGUACAGCAAAUUUGGAAAACAGUUUGGAAGUUCUUCAAAAUGUUAACAUGGAGUUAUCAUGUGACCCAGAAAUUAUCCUAGGUAUACAACUAAGAGAAAUAAUAACACGUUCAUAAAAUUGCACAAAAGCUUGUACAUGACUGUUCAUAGCAGCAUUAUUCAUAAUAGCAAAAAAUAAAAAUAAUCCAGAUGUCAUCAACUGAUGAAUGGAUAAACGUGGCAUAUUCAUAUGAUGAAAUAUGAUUUGGCAAUAAAAAGAAAUGAAGUACUGAUACAGGCUACAACACAGAUGAACCUUAAAAACAUUAUGCUAAGUGAAAGAAGCCAGUUGUGAAGGAUCACGUACGAUUCCAUUUAUAUAAAAUGUUCAGAAUAGGCAAAACUAUAUACAGAGAAAGUAGAUUAGUGGUGGCCUAGGGCUGGAGAAAUUGGUAGAAAAUGGAAGUGACUCCUUAAUGGGUAUGAAAUGUUAGGGGAGAGAUGAAAAUGUUUUAAAAUAAAUUGUGGUAAAGGUUGCACAACUCUGAAAACAAACUAAAAUUUGUUGACUUAUACACUUUAAAUGGGUGAAUUGUGUGGUAUGGGAAUUAGAUCUUAGAAGAGCUGUUAAAGAAAAAAAAAGUUUCUUGUAGAAUAAAUUCCCAGAACUGGGACUGUUGGGUCAAAGGGAAAAUGCAUUUAAAAUUUUUUACAUUUUUACCCUCAUCAGCAAUGUAUGAAAUAGCAAGGCAGGUACAUUUUAUGUAGGAGGAAACUGAGGCACGGACAAUCCAAAAUCACAUAAUUAAUAACACCCGAGCUGUGACUGAAAUCAGGUCUGUUGGACUCCAAAACAUGUGCUCUGCUGCAGACAAUUCAUUUGGUAUUUUUCCAAUAGUCAUUUGAUCUUCUUUAAAAAAAAAAAAAAAAACGUAACUUUUGAUUGCAUUGAUUUUCUUUGUUGCUUUUUCGUUUUUCUAUAUCAUUUAUUUCUGCUCUGAUCUUUAUUAUUUCCUUUUUUUCUGCUGAUUUUGGUUAAAUUCACUCUUCUUUUUUCUAUUUCUUAAGAUAGAAGCUGAUAACACUAUUUGAGACCUUUCUUCUUUUCUAAUAUAGGUGUCUAGUCCUAUAAAUUUCCCCCUAAGUACUGCUUUAGUGGUAUCCUACAAAUUCUGAUAUGUUGCAUUUUUAUUUUCACUUGGAUCAAAAUACUUUCUAAUGUCUCUUUUGAUUUUUUUUUAACUUGGAGGUUAUUUAAAGUGUCUUAUUUUGUUCUCAACUAUUUGGGGAUUUUCCAGAUCCCUUUUUGUUAUUGAUUUGUAAUUUAAUUCCACUGUGGUCAGAGAACAUGCUUUGACUAAUUUUAGAUGUAUUGAAAUUUGUUUUAUGGUCAGAAUAUGGUCUAUCUUGAUAAAUGUUUUUAUGUACACUGAAAAAUGUGUAUUCUUCUGUUGUUGGGUAAAGUGUUUUAUAAAUGUCAGUUAAGUUGGUUGAUAGUGUUGUUCAAGUUUACUAUACAUUCUUGAUGAUUUUCUGCCUGCUUGUUCUAUCAAUUAUUGAGAGAGGGACAUUGAAAUAUCUCCAACUGUAAUUGUAGAUUUGUACAUUUUUCCUUGUAAUUCUAUCAGGUUUUACUUAAUGUAUUUUGAAACUCUGCUAUUAGGUGUAUAAAUGUUUGGCACUGUUAUAUUUUCUUAAUGAACUAAACACUUUAUCAUUAUGAAAUGACUCUUUAUCUCUGGUAAUAUUCUUCACUUGAAAUCUACUUUGUAUUAUAUUAAUAUAGCCAUUUCAGUUUUCUGUUGAUUAUUGUUAGCACAGUACAUCUUUACUCAUAAUUUUUACUUACUUUAACUUAUUUCAUAUUUAAAGUGGAUUUCUUUCUUUCUUCUUUUUUUUUGAGAGGGAGUCUCGCUGUGUUGCCUAGGCUGGAGUGCAGUGGCACAAUUUUGGCUCACUGCAACCUCCACCUCAUGGAUUCAAGCGCUUCUCCUGUCUCAGCCUCCCAGGUAGCCACCACACCCAGCUAAUUUUUGUAUUUUUAGUAGAGACAGGGUUUUGCCAUGUUGGCCAGGCUGGUCUUGAACUCCUGGCCUCCAGUGAUCUGCCCAGCUCAGCCUCCCAAGUUGCUGGGAUUAUAGGCAUGAGCCACUGAGCCCAGCCUAAAGUGGAUUUCUUAGAAAUCCACUAUGAAUCAAGAUUCAUAGAAUUGAAUCUUGCUCUGUACAAACAAUCUGACAGUUUGGCUUUUUAACUGUGGUAUUUAGACCAUUUAUACUGAAUGCGAUUAUUGAUAUGAUUAGGUUUAAAUCUACCUGCUUGCUAUUUGUUCCAUGUAUUGUUUCUUCUCUUUUCCCUCUUUUUCUGCCUUUUUUGGAUUGGAUAUUUUGUGACUUCAUUUUAUCUCCUUUAUUAGCUUAAUUAGAUACAACUACUUUUUAGUGGUUACUUUUGGGUUUAUAGUGUACAUCCUCAAUCCCAAACCACUUUGAGUAAUAUUAUACCACUUCACACAGAGUAAGAACCUUACAACAGCAUGCUUCUCUUUCCUCCUUCACAACCUUUAGGCUAUUGUUGUCAUGUGUUUAAUUUCUAUAUAUGUUAUAAACCC